UCCUAAGACUUAAUACCUAGUAUCAACUGGGCUUUAAAAACACUUUAUAUUUCCUAUAAAUAAAACAAGUAGUACUCUGACAAGGUGUAGUGGGGUGGUUACCCCGCUCCUGACAUAAGAGGCAUGAGAACAGUUUGGGGAAGCUGACUGAGUAACUGACCACAGGUGUGGCCAGCUCAUUCAGGGCCCAGCUGGCUCUGAUAAGAGGGCUGUGGGCCAGGAACUGAGAGAGUCUUACUCUAUCCCUGAAGUGGGAAGGGCUAGCUGCCUGGGAGUUAGGUACUUGAGAUGGAGCAGUGCUGGGGAAGGGUAAAGGAAGUUGGGGAGCUCCAGCCUGGUAAACCCCCAGGCUGCAGGCUUUGUUGAAGGCCUACAAAAGAUUACUGAAACACACAGACAAGUUUCCCCUUUCAUAGCUGCAAGUGUUAAGAUCUUUCUUGUCUUGGAAUUUCUAUUACUUAUGGUAGAAGACUGUCCUCAGUAGAAGUGAAGAAUGUAAAAGGAGAUAAAUUAAAAUUGAUUAGCUGACCAACAGAAGAAAAGAGAAGAACUGCGCAUUCAUCCAAAUAUUCUAGCUCUUCUAGCAGAGGAGUGUCCACCAUUUCCUUAAUUGCUUUUUAAUUCCUCUCCAGAGCUUUGGAUGGGGUGGAGUGGGAACCCCCUGCUUUUGCAGUAUUGUUAACAAUAAAAGUCAUCAUUAUGAUCUGACAUUGGAAAAAAAAUCAGCUGGAAGUUAACCCUCUAACCUUCUUAUAGACUGCCAAGGUUUAAAGAGACUGUGUCUUUGAAACAGCAUUAAUUAAAUUGUGUACAGCAACUUGAGGUGUCUGCAUAAAAUGCUACAAAAUCAAGUCCACUUCAAAUGCUCAAUCUGCAAGUUGCCAAGAACCUUCUUAGAGAAGCUCUCAAUUCCCACUGACUUCUGUUUGUACGUUAUAUAUUCUCAAGGAGCUUCUGCAUCAGUCUUACGGAUGGUGCUGAGCAUGUUCAUCUCUCAUUGACUUUCUGGGCAUUGAAGGUUUGCUACUACACAGGAGAUGAUCAAUGCCUGGCAGAAUUGCUAAUUAAAGACCUGAUCAUGCACCGCAUGGAAGAACUCCAACUGUCUCUGAUGGGAGCAAGAUUAGUCCCUAAAUGUGCUUACAAGGCCUUUUACUGGACACUUGAACAGCUCCUGUUCAACUAUACCUUGAGGAGUGGCAGAGUGACAGUAGUAUGUCCAUUUGGAAAGCUGAAAAGGAGACAGAGGUGCCUACCGACAAGACUGGAGGCUGUUGAGCAACAGCUGCUUGUUGUAUUUUGCACAACAGCUAUGAGAGCAAGGGAGAGACCCUCCCUGAUGGGUGGGAAGCAGAGGUGCACAGCCUUUGGGAAUGUUAUGAGCAGCCAGCAGAAAGGCUGCCUCUGCAGACUGCAGCAAACAAUCAGGAAUGCCCCGUGCUUCCACUUGGACGCUAGAAAGUAAAAUGAAAUUUUAUUAUGCAUUAUGUAAGGAUUUCAUUAGUCUGUCUGUAAAAUUUGAUGAAAUGCAAUUUUGUUAUGCUUUGCACAAUGAUUCCAUGCAAGGACAUUUUGUAAUGCUGUUUAGCACAUGUGAUUUGAUGAAAUUGUAUUGAACCUCUGUCAAUAAUAUAGUGAAUGUAAAGUAGUGAAGUUAAUAAAAACCUUCACUGAAUAUAACACAAAGUUAGACUAGUGGAAUAUAAACUACAACAAAGAAUAGUGCAACCUUUUAUGGAACAUAGUGCAGAUGUGACAUACAUGCCUAAAGUGCUGUCCUGGUCACAAAUGUGUGUGCAUCCAGGGCUUCUGACUGCUGUCCUAGCCUUCAAUCAGUGGUUUGUGUGCCUCCUCAUGGCUGGGCCUAGUGUAGCACCUCCUCUAUCUCAGUCAGG